GACGAACCGUGCGAACGUUGUUCGGAAUCACUGGGCUUAAAGGGCGCGUAGGCGGGCGGUCAAGUCGGUGGUGAAAUCCUUCAGCUCAACUGGAGAAUGGCCGCCGAUACUGACUGCCUCGAGGGAGGUAGGGGCAUGUGGAACUCAGGGUGGAGCGGUGAAAUGCGUAGAUAUCCUGAGGAACGCCGGUGGCGAAAGCGACGUGCUGGACCUCUUCUGACGCUGAGGCGCGAAAGCCAGGGGAGCAAACGGG
rnacentral:rRNA from 1 species